rnacentral:lncRNA from 1 species
GUUUGAGCGGAGACACAGUAGAUGGCAGUGCAUAACAUAAAUUACUUCUGCGGUGCAUGCUUCUAUUCCCUGCAGUAGCUGCCCAGAGCCAGUGAGGUUACACUGGCAGGCAUUGCUUGUUUCCCUGGCUCAAUGCAGAAAAAAGGAGAAGGCUUCUGCGAAGCAACCAAGCUACUCCAAAGCGUCGCUUUUGCUCGGUGGAUCAAGACUGCUGAAUCAGCAAAGGCAACUGCUACUCAUUUAGCCAGCCGAAUCACUGUCCAGGGUGAGAGCUGUACACACAUACCUCCUCAAGACCCUUCCUUACAAGGCGUGGAGCACGCUCAUGGUGGCAGUAUUUAUGAGGGUGUUUCCAACCUGGCGUUUUUAACGGAUCUGAAUUCCAGCUGUAUUCUUGCCAUUGUGGAGAGCCAAACACACUUCCUUUAUGCUCAUGGAGAUUUUAGGAACUGA